rnacentral:antisense_RNA from 1 species
CUGGGCAACAAGAGCAAAACCCCAUCUAAAAAAACAGGCAAUAAACACAAACUGCUCUAAAAAUGGGAAAAUGUUACAGAACUGGGUUGUCUAAGAUUGACUGACUCAAGGCACUCAAACUGCAGUUCUCCAGACCAGGCCAGUAGAGGGAGCUGUCGGCUUUGGAAAUAUGACAUCAUACCCGCCACGCGGCAUGAACAGACUCCAGGAAUUCUUAGCAUAAGGCAUUUACCAUGCAGAUGGAGGGGCAGGGUUAGUAGGGGAGGGAAGCAUCCCUGCUCUUUGCAGGGCAGCAUCCUGCCAGGCUGGCUCUCAGCACAUAGCCUUCAGAAUUUUACAAUUAAAUGCAAGAAAUAACAAGUUGCAAGCACACAUCAGAGGUUCCUUAUACCCAAAACAAGCUUCACGUGCUGUAUCCCAUCACCAGCUCAAAGAGACCCCUGGCGUUUCCUCACUUCACCACGUCCAUGCUAUUCUGUUAAAGCACAACAAGGAAACAGAAAUAAACACACAACUCUAUCC